rnacentral:lncRNA from 1 species
GCAGGUUUUUCAUCUUUCUCUCCAACAACUAGUUCUUCAGGUUUCUCUUCAAGUGCCAGUUCUUCAGGUGUUUCCUCCUUUGCCAGCUCUUCAGGUGUUUCCUCCUUUGCCAGCUCUUCAGGUGUUUCUUUAGCUGCCGGUUCUUCAGGUUUCUCUUCAACCUCCGGUUCUUGUGGUAUUUCCUCUACUUGUACUUCAGAUUUCUCCUCAAUUGUUGGUUCUUCAGGUUUCUCUCUAACCGCUGCUGCAUUAGGUUUCUCUUCAUUGGCUGGUUCUUCAGGUUUUUCUUCAACUACCGAUUCUUCAGGAUUUUCCUCAAUGUUUGGAAAGGGAGCGACAUCAUUAUUGGUAUUGCAUGGAAUUUCACUGCCAGUUUUGUCAUUCAAGUCCACAACUAGUAUAUUCUGCAAAAGAGUUUAAUGUUUCACUUAGUCUUUCAAUAAAGAAGCAGAUGCGAAUCAUUACAUAUACAUAACUAAUAACAUGGAUAAACUUUAUGACAGUAGUUGACCCUUACCUUUUCCACAAGAGUUACUUUUGCAGGUUUCUCCUCUUCAAGUGCUGGUUUCUCUUCAAAUGAUAGUUCAUUAGGUGUUUCUUCCCGUGUUGGUUCUUCAUGUGCUUCUUCAGUUACUGGUUUUUCAGGUUUCUCCUCAAUUGUUGGUUCUUCGCUUGUCUUCUCAACUGAUGGUUCCUCAUGCUUCUCUCCCGUUGUUGAUUUUUCGGGUUUCUCUUCAGUUGUCGAUGGUUCAGUUUUUUUCUCAACCGCUGGUUCUUUUGGCUUCUCCAAAACCAUUUCCGAUUUCUCUUCAGUUGGUGGUUCUUCAUGGUUUUUUUCAACUACUGGUUCUUCUCUUUUUUCCUCAACUGAUGCAUAGUCAGCAAUAUCGUUGUUGGUAUUGCUUGGAAUUGCAUUGUCUGUCUUGUCCUUUGAGCUUACAAUUGGCAUAUUCUGCUAGAAAAAUAUAAAGUUUCAUGUAGUCUUUCAACAGAGAAACCAAUGUAAAUUUGUUGCACAUAUAAAGCUAACAAAUAUGAUGGAUAGACUUUGCGAGAGUGUUUAAUACUCACCUUCUCCGGAAGAGCUUCCGUUUCAGGUUCCUCUUCAAUUUCUGCUUUUUCAUCUUUCUCUUCAACAACUAGUUCUUCAGGUGUCUCUUCAACCGUUGAUUCUUCAGGUUUCUCUUCAAGUGUUAGUUCUUGAGGUGUUUCCUCCUUUGCUAGCUCUUCAGGUGUUUCUGUAACUGCCGGUUCUUCAGGUUCCUCUUCAGCCACCGGCUGUUGACGUAUCUCCUCUACUUGUACUUCAGAUUUCUCCUCAAUUGUUGGUUCUUCAGGUUUCUCCUUAACCGCUGGUACAUCAGGUUUAUCCUCAUUGACUGGUUCUUCAACUGCUGAUUCUUCUAGAUUUUCCUCAAUGUCUGGAAAGCGAGCAACAUCAUUAUUGGUAUUGCAUGGAAUUUCAUUUCCAGUUUCGUUAUUCGAGUCUACAAUUAGCAUAUUCUGCAAAAAGAAUUUAAUGUUUCAUUUAGCCUUUCAAUAAAGAAGCAUAUGCGAAUAACAGUACAUGCAUAACUAACAAAAUGGAUAAACUUUGUGAUAGUGCUUGAUCCUUACCUUUGCCAAAAGAGUUACCUUUUCAGGUUUCUCCUCUUCAACGGUUGGUUCUUCAUGUUUCUUUUCAAAUGCUAGUUCCUUGGUUGUUUCUUCCGGUGUUGGUUCCAUAGGUGUUUCUUCAGUUACUUGUUUUUCGGGUUUCUCUUCAAUUAUUGGUUCUUCGAUUGUCUUCUCAACUGAUGGUUCUUCAAGAUUUUCUCCCACUGUUGGUUUUUGGGGUUUCUCUUCUAUUGUUGGUUGUUCAGGAAUUUUCUCAACUGGUGGUUCUGCUGGAUAUUCCAAAACCAUUGAUUCUUCAGAUUUCUCUUCAAUUGAUGGUUCUUCAUGGGUUUUUUCAACUACUGGUUCUUCAAUUUUUUCCUCAACAGAUGCAUAGUCAACAAUAUCAUUAUUGGUAUUGCUUGGAAUUGCAUCGUCUGUCAUGUCCUUUGAGUUUACUUUUGGCAUAUUCUGCAAUAGAGUUUCAUGUAAUCUUUCAACAGAUAAACAGAUGUAAAUUUGUUGCACAUAUAAAGCUAAUAUGGUGGAUAAACUUUGUGACAGUGUUUAAUCCUCACCUUCUCCUGAAGAUCUUCCGCUUCAAGUUCCUCCUCUACAAUUGCAGUUUUUUCCUCUUCCCCUUCAACAACUAGUUCUUCAGGUGCCUCUUCAGCCGUUGAUUCUUCAGGUUUCUCUUCAAGUGCUAGUUCUUCAGGUGUUUCCUCCUUUGCCAGCUCUUCAGGUGUUUCUUUAGAUGCCGAUUCUUCAGGUUUCUCUUCAGCCAUCGGUUCUUGAGGUAUUUCCUCUACUUGUACUUCAUAUUUCUCCUCAAUUGUUUGUUCUUCAGGUUUCUCUUCAGGUUUCUCCUUAACCACUGGUACAUCAGGUUUCUCUUGAUUAACUGGUUCUUUGGGUUUUUCUUCAACAGCCGAAUCUUCAGGAUUUUCCUCAAUGUCUUGAAAGCAAGCAAUAUCUUUAGUGGUAUUGCAUGGAAUUUCACUGCCAGUUUUGUUGUUCGAGUCUACAAUUAGCAUAUUCUGCAAAAGGAAUUUGAUGUUUCAUUUAGCCUUUUAAUAAAGAAGCAGAUGUGAAUAACAUUACAUGCAUAACUUACAAAAUGGAUAAAUUUUGUGACAGUCCUUGACCCUUACCUUUUCAGGUUUCUCCUCUUCAACAGCUGAUUCUUCAUGUUUCUCUUCAAAUGCUAGUUCUCUGGGUGUUUCUUCCCGUAGUGCUUCUUCAUGUGCUUCUUCAGUUACUGGUUUUUCAGGUUUCUCCUCAAUUGUUGGUUCUUUGAUUGUCUCCUCAACAGAUGGUUCUUCAAGCUUCUCUCCCGUUGUUGAUUUUUCUGGUUUCUCUUCAAUUGCUGGUUGUUCAGGAAUUUUCUCAACAGCUGGUUCUUCUGGCUUCUCUAAAACCAUUGAUUCUUCAGCUUUCUCUUCAAUUGAUGGUUCUUCAUGGUUUUUUUCAACUAUUGGUUCUUCAGUUUUUUCCUCAACGGAUGCAUAGUCAACAAUAUCAUUGUUGGUAUUGCUUGGAAUUGCAUCGUCUGUCAUGUCCUUUGAGUUUACUUUUGGCAUAUUCUACAAUAAAGUUUCAUGUAGUCUUUCAAUAGAUAAACAGAUGUAAAUUUGUUGCAACAUAUAAAGCUAAUAUGGUGGAUAAACUUUGUGACAGUGUUUAAUCCUCACCUUCUCCCGAAGAUCUUCCGCUUUAAGUUCCUCCUCUUCAAUUGCUGUUUUUUCAUCUUUCGUUUCAACAACUAGUUCUUCAGGUGCCUCUUCAGCCGUUGAUUCUUCAGGUUUUUCUUCAAGUGCCAGCUCUUCAGGUGUUUCCUCCUUUGCCAUCUCUUCAGGUGUUUCCUCCUUUGCCAGCUCUUCAGGUGUUUCUUUAGCUGCUGGUUCUUCAGGUUUCUCUUCAGCCGCCAGUUCUUGAGGUAUCUCCUUUUCUACUUCAGAUUUCUCCUCAACUGUUGGUUCUUCAGGUUUCUCUUCAUUAACUGGUUCUUUGGGUUUUUCUUCAACAGCCGAAUCUUCAGGAUUUUCCUCAAUGUCUGGAAAGUGAGCAACAUCUUUAUUGGUAUUGCAUGCAAUUUCACUGUCAGUUUUGUCGUUCAAGUCUACAAUUAGCAUAUUCUGCAAAAAGAAUUUGAUGUUUCAUUUAGCCUAUUAAUAAAGAAGCAGAUGUGAAUAACAUUACAUGCAUAACUUACAAAAUGGAUAAACUUUGUGAUGGUCCUUGACCCUUACCUUUCCAGGCUUCUCCUCUUCAACGGCCAGUUCUUGUUUCUCUUCAAAUGCUAGUUCCCUGGGUGUUUCUUCCUGUAUUGGUUCUUCAUGUGCUUCUUCAGGUACUGGUUUUUCAGGUUUCUCCUCAAUUGUUGGUUCUUCGAUUGUCUCCUCAACAGAUGGUUCUUCAAGGUUCUCUCCCGUUGUUGAGUCUUCUGGUUUCUCUUCAAUUGCUGGUUGUUCAGAAAUUUUCUCAACAGCUGGUUCUUCUGGCUUCUCCAAAACCAUUGAUUCUUCAGCUUUCUCUUCAAUUAAAGGUUCUUCAUGGUUUUUUUCAACUACUGUUUCUUCAGUUUUUUCCUCAACGGAUGCAUAGUCAACAACAUCAUUGUUGGUAUUGCUUGGAAUUGCAUCGUCUGUCAUGUCCUUUGAGCUUACUUUUGGCAUAUUCUGCAAUAAAGUUUCAUGUAGUCUUUCAAUAGAUAAACAGAUGUAAAUUUGUUGCACAUAUAAAGCCAAUAUGGUGGAUACACUUUGUGACAGUGUUUAAUCCUCACCUUCUCCUGAAGAUCUUCCGCUUCAAGUUCUUCCUCUUCAAUUGCUGUUUUUUCAUCUCUCUCUUCAACAACUUGUUCUUCAGGUGCCUCUUCAGCCGUUGAUUCUUCAGGUUUCUCUUCAAGCACUAGUUCUUCAGGUGUUUCCUCCUUUGCCAGCUCUUCAGGUGUUUCUUUAGCUGCCAGUUCUUCAGGUUUCUCUUCAGCUGCCGAUUCUUGAGGUAUUUCCUUUACCUGUACUUUAGAUUUCUCCUCAAAUGUUGGUUCUUCAGGUUUCUCCUUAACCGCAGGUACAUCAGGUUUCUCUUCAGCUGCUGGUUUUUGAGGUUUCUCCUCUACUUGUACCUCGGAUUUCUCCUCAACCAUCGGUUCUUCAGGUUUCUCCUCAACCUCUGGUACGUCAGGUUUCUCUUCAUUAACAAGUUCUUCACUUUUUUCUUCAAUAGUUGAUUCUUCAGGAUUUUCCUUAGUGUCUGGAGAGUAAGCAACAUCAUUAUUGGUAUUGCAUGGAAUUUCACUGCCAGUUGUGUCGUUCGACUCUACCAUUGGCAUAUUCUGCAGAAAGAAUUUAAUGUUUCACUUUGCCUUUCAAUAAAGAAGCCGAUGUAAAUCAGAGGACAUACAUAACUAAAAAAGAUGGAUUAACUUUGUGAUAGUGUUUGACUCUUACCUUUUCGAAAAGAGUUAUCUUUUCAGGUUUCUCCUCUUCAACUGUUGGUUCUUCAUGUUUCUCUUCAAAUGCUAGUUCCUCAGGUGUUUCUUCCUGUAUUGGUUCCUCAGGUGUUUCUUCUUCUGUUACUUGCUUUUCAGGUUUCUCCUCAAUUGUUGGUUCUUUGAUUGUCUCCCCAAUCGAUGGUUCUUCAAGCUUUCCCCCCCCUGUUGGUUUUUCAGGUUUCUCUUCAAUUUUCGGUUGUUCAG